GAUGAAGAACGUAGCGAAAUGCGAUAAGUAAUGUGAAUUGCAGAAUUCAGUGAAUCAUCGAAUCUUUGAACGCACAUUGCGCCCGCCAGUAUUCUGGCGGGCAUGCCUGUUCGAGCGUCAUUUCAACCCUCACGCCCCCGGGCUUGGUGUUGGGGAUCGGCGUGCCCUCGCGGCGCGCCGUCCCCUAAAUCUAGUGGCGGUCUCGCUGUAGCUUCCUCUGCGUAGUAGCAACACUCGCACUGGAUCGCAGCGCGGCCACGCCGUUAAACCCCCCACUUCUGAAAGUUUGACCUCGGAUCAGGUAGGAAUACCCGCUGAACUUAAGCAUAUCAAUAAGCGGAGGA
rnacentral:misc_RNA from 1 species